rnacentral:lncRNA from 1 species
AUAUAUUUUUUAUCCAAAACUUAAAAAGAAGCAAUUAAUGCAAAUGAUCAAAUUUAGAGUUGCCCAAAAUGUUGCAACUCAGAAGCACAAACGGCAAACCUCCCGUCGGCGUCGAAUAUCUCUUCGUUUUGCCCAAUCGCCAUAUCCAGCAGUAGUAAUAUGAACUUUCUGAUCAAUGUAAGUUCAAUUUCACUUGCAUUAUACAUCUUCGUUUUCGGAUUCUGUCCAUAUAUGCGUGUGUUCAACUGUUUAUACGUUCUAGACCUCAAUGAAUUUGUGAUUCUUAUGAGUUAUGUUGAUGAAUUUUAUUUGAAAUGAGAUAAUAAGUAUUAGUUGAGCGACCACACCAGAAAUCGAACUCGCUAAACUAGAAUCGACUAUUCAAAGUUUCAGUCGCGGAUUGCCCUAUGAUAUUAGAGACGCUUUGCUAUUAUUGAUAAUCUGAUGCUAGUUGGUUAGUGUUAUACAUGCAUACUAUCUGUUUGAUGAAAGUUCGGGUGAUAAUGCCAGCUCUAAGAAUCAAUAUGCUUUGUUAACAACUGAAUCCUCUGCAGUACUAUAGUUACUAUCAUGGAACUUAUGUUGUAUGGUGUUCCUUAUGCUUUGCUAUAUCUUGCUUCAAAAAAUGAUUUGCACCUCUUCUUACCUGCACGAUUCCUUUUUGUUUUUCGUAAUUGUUAUUAUAAGGUUUUGUUGCUAAAUGAUAGAAUAAGAAAAUUGGAUCUGAAAAAUGCAUAGUUAUUCAUGUGGAAUUAUGAUGGCGUACAUUAUUAGAAUCUCAUAUUUCAGAAAGAAGUUUAACCAUGUGUGGUCGUGGAGAACAUUUUGCUAAUAGCGGCUGAACCUUUGGUGAAAUUGUGAAUCCAGUGCCUUCGCUCAUAUCAAUGAUCUCACUAUUGGGCUUAUCCCACUCAAAACAUUGAAGAAGUGAGCCUAGUGCCAAUCCAAUGACAUGAAUUGCUAGGUUCUCACCAGGGCAACCCCUCCUUCCUGAUCCAAACGGAAUAAACUUGCAGCCCUCUUUGACACUGUCAAAGCCUAUAAAUCUAUCAGGAUUGAACUUUUCUGGAUCCUCCAAUACCUUAGAGUCAUGAUGUAUCCCCCAUGCAUUCACUAAUAGGAUUGUUCCACGCGGAACUCGAUAUCCUGCAACUUUGCACUCUUCUGAUGAAAGGUGAGGCACAAGUAAAGGGGCUGCUGGAUGCAUCCGCAAUGUCUCAUCGAUGAUGCAUCUGAUGUAAGGAAGUUGAGCCAAAUUGGAUUCAUCCGGUCUUGUCCAACCUGAUUGUCAAUUUCAGUCUGUGCCGUCUUUAAAAUUUCUCGAUUGUCAAGCAAGCGUGAAAAAGCCCAUUCUAGUGUUACUGCUGAAAUAUCUGAUCCAGCUUGGAGUAGGAUCUGCAUGCAUAAGAAAACAGAAUGUAUAAACUAGUUAACAACAUUUAAAGGAACAGUAGAUAUAGACAGAAGCAAAGACACUCUGUAGGGUCAAUGGUUUUGGUAGUUCAAAUAUAGCUUUCAUUUCAAGAUCUAUAUCCAGGGUAGGGUAAGGCAUAUGUAAGUAGAAUUAUAAUAGUCAAUAUCACCUGCCUAUACUAUGUACUCCGUCUGUUGUGAACCAAACUGACCCCAUAAGGGCCUACGGGCUAUUAGAGAGUUUUAUUUGGGAUCCAGACCCAUUUACACUUUGUUAAAAAGGACUAGGAAUUAGAAGAACGGUUAUGGAAAAUUAUUAUGUCAAGCUCUGGCUUUCUAUCCUCUCAUUUCCUUUCUAUGGUCUUGUAUCUCAUCCCUUUCUGGUUACUUCUUUCUCGGUUAAUCUCUCCUUAGUUAGUGUAUUAUUAUUUUGUUGUGCCUAUCCUACAUUGUAACUUGUAUUCAGUGAUUAAUAUAUAUAACUGUGUUUCUGUUGGAAUCGAGUUUGUUUCACCGUCCCGUUCAAUUUAUUUGUACUAGUUUGACUUGACAGAAAGUGAAAGAAAGUAAAGAAGACUUUUGAAUCUUGUGUCUAAACAUGUCAUGUGGUAUGUUGAAAUUUAAGAGCUGUCAAAUUAGGAAAAAGACACUCUUUUUUAAACAAAAAAGAGAAGUAAUACAAACAAAUUGAAACAAAAGGGAGUAUAAAUCAAUCUUGGUACGGAAGCAUUUAGACUCAUCUAAUCAUGUCUUUUUAUCAAGAAACCCCAGCAGAAUACCAAUUUGUAUCAAGUUCCAUCUGAAGCUUAACAUAGUAUUAACUCAAGAUAACACAAGCAAAGAAAACAAUGAAGAUAAUCUUCAUGUACAAAAAGAAAAAAUAUAGAUGUCUGAUAGUCUUACCAGCAGUAGGUUUCUAAUUGUUUCAUCUGUGUAGUAUUCGGGGUCUGUUUUCUGUAAAUCUAACAAGACUUCCAUGAUAGUUUUCUUCUUCCCUGCCACAACCUCUGCUGAAGGAAAAGAACCACUGGUCUUUAAUCGACGAUGCUCGUCUAUUUCCUUUCGCAUAAAGUUAUCUCUCUUCUUCUGUAGUUCCAUCAUCUUUUCCUCAACACUAUGCAAUCCAAACCACCUCAUAAAUGGCAAGAAAUCCAAAAUAUUAGCCUUUGGAGUAGUGUUUAUUGUUUCCUUUGAUAUAUCCUGGAAUAGCAUAGCUUCUUUUGAGUUCUCUCCAUAGUAUCUUUUCCCUGCAAUCAUUCUCGAUAUCACGUUGAACGUGAAGUUAAAAAGAGAUGAUUUCAUCUCCACAAUUUUUUCCAAAUUCUCUAUGGAGACUCUAAAGAGUCUACGAAUCAGGUAGUUUAUUUUAUCAGAACGGAUGCUUGAUAGUGUCUGAAUUCUAUAGGAAGAUAAAACUUCAAGAGUGGAAAUUCUUCGAAGAUUUCUCCAGUGCUCUCCAUAAGAAGACCAAGCGAGGCUAGUAAAAUUGUACCCGAAAUACUUACCACUGAGAAAAUCAGGACGAUUGGCAAAGAUGAUAUCAUUUUUAGUAAAACAGUCUUCUGCUACUAAAGGUGAUGAAACAAGGAGGACAGGCCGAGAGCCAAAUUGAAGAAACACUACUGAACCAUAACGAUUCGAGACUUUGAAUAAAGCCCUAUGGAAAGGUUUACUCAAUAAGUAGAGAUGGCCAAUAAAAGGGAGUGUUGGAAAUGGGCUAGGUGGAAGGUUUUGUAACUUGUUAAGAAAAUGGCGGCUGAUGAUAUAAUGAACAAGGAACAGAACUGGGAAAUACAGAUAAAGAUUGUCCAUGGAUGACCAGAAUUGUAGUAUUAUUUCUGAUAAUUAUCUAGUUUUAUUAGCUUGUAUUAAGAUCUUUGCAGCUUAGACAACAAUAAAUGAGUGUCAUCAAAUCUUGGUUUUGUAAUCUAAAUUGAUCAAUCUUUGUAGGCUAGGUAUUUGUUGAAUCCCUAAUAAUGUAGGUUAGUUGUAGAAAUUUAUUAUUUAUAGAAAAUUUAUCCUUGUAAACAAACAGGAAGGAAUUAAAUACUAACAAGUAAAUAUCCAAUAAACAGGACCUUAUAAUUUAUUUAGGCAAUUGAUGAUUGAUGACAAAUGACAAGAUGCAAUUUUUCUGGAUGUACUCUAAUUAGGUUCAUUUGUCCAGUAUCAAAUAUGCAUUGAUAUAUUCAGCGUAUAUGUAUUCAAUAUCAAUAUCAUCAGUGUAUCCAAUAUCAAUUUUAUCCGGUGUAUCCUUUAUCAGUUUCAUCCAAUUUCAUGUAUCAAGUAUCAAAUAUACAUUGAUGUAUCCGUGCUUAGAUAUGCGUAUCUGGUAUCAAAUAUGCACUUAUACAUUCAUCAAAUAAACCAAUAUCAAAUAUGCACUGAUGUAUUAAGUGUAUCUAUACACAGAUACAUAUCAAUCAUUAUUUCUAGACAUGUAAAUAUUGUCCCCAAGUAAAAUUAAACCAAAAUCAGAACUGAAUAGUUUAUGAAAGUGAUACCCUGUGGUUAAAUAGUUAUAGUAGCAUGUUUGCUUAGUUAGGUAAUUUUUUCCAUUAUUGAUACCCAUAAAACAAUAGAUCCAAAAUGUUGCAACAUCAUCUUAAAACUCUAAUUUUCAAACAACAAUAGCUAAACGGAAGAGAUAUGGAAAAUUGAAUAGGUCGACAAUGAAUCGGAACUCAGAAGCACAAUUUUCUUCCUUUUGCUCAAUCGCCAAAUCCAACAAUAGGAGUAUGAACAAGGCCUUCACAUUCUGAUCAAAGUAAGUUCAAUUUCACUUGCAUUAUACAUCUUCAUUUUCAGAUUCUCUCCAUAUAUGUGUGUUCGAGUGCUUAUACCUUCUUGACCUCAAUGAAUUUAUGAGUCUUAUGAGUUAUGUUGGUGAAGUUCAAUGAAUUUUAUUUGAAAUUCUUGCGGAAACGCCUGGGGUUUACCUUUGCUCAGCUUAAUUUUGGUUUUCGUUAAUUUCACCCUAAGAUAUUGAUUAUACUUUGUAAUUUCUCUGCAUAUUUCUAAGGGGAUGGUAUAGUACUGAAGAAGCUAUAACUCUAAUUAUUAUGUCAUGACUCUAAUUUCUAAGGGGGCAGUAUAGUGCUGAAGAAGUUAUAACUCUAAUUUUGUUAAAUUGUUCGAAUUGUGUAAUCAUCAGUUAUUGACAUUGGGAAGCGACCCAAAGUGAUAUUCAAUUCGUGACUUCAAAUUUGAAUUGCUUUCCUGUUAACCGUGUAAAAGAAGCUUUUGGUAAUUGUGCUCCAAGAUGCACUAUAAAUUGCUAUUUUCCAUUUGGUUACUAUUGUAUUUAGAGAGUUGAUUUCCCACAUAAUCACUCAACUAAUUAUUAUUAUCUCAUAAAGUCACAUCUCUUCUUGAUUAUUCCAAUGUUUUUCAAUAAAGAAAAUGACUUUCUGAGAUAAUAAAAUUUAGUUAUGUGGCCAUAUUAGUUCGAACUCUCUACACUAAUGACUAUUCAACUUUACAGUCACGGAUUGCCUUCUAAUAAUGGGCCUUUGAUAUUAGAGAAGCUUUGCUAUUAUUGAUAAUCUGAUACUAGUUGUGAGUGUUAAACAUGCAUACUAUCUGUUUGAUGGAAGCUAAGGUGAUAAUGCCAGCUCCAAGAAUCAAUAUGCUCUAUUAACAACUGAAUCCUCUGCAGUACUAUAGUUACCAUUAUGGAACUUAUGCUAUGAGGUAUUCCUUAUGCUUUGUUAUAUUCUUGCUUCAAAAAAUGAUUUGCUCUUCUUCCCUCACAAUUCCUCUUUGUUUUUUGUACUCAAUAUUAUAAGGUUUCAUCGCUGAAUGAUAGAAUAAGAAAAUUGGAUCUUAAAAUUGCUUAGUUAUUCAUGUGGAAGUAAUGGCGUACAUUAUUAGAAUCUUGGUUAGGAUUAGAUUUCAGAAAGAAGUUUAACCAUGUGUAGUCGUGGAGAACAUUUUGCUAAUAGCGGCUGAACCUUUGGUGAAAGUGUGAAUCCAGUGCCUUCACUCAUAUCGAUGAUCUCCCUAUUGGGCUUAUCCCACUCAAAGCAUUGAAGAAGUGAGCCUAGUGCCAAUCCAAUGACAUGAAUUGCUAGGUUCUCACCAGGGCAACCCCUCCUUCCUGAUCCAAAUGGAAUAAACUUGCAGCCCUCUUUGACACCUUCAAAGCCUAAAAAUCUACCAGGAUUGAACUUUUGUGGCUCCUCCCAUACCUUAGGGUCAUGAUGUAUCCCCCAUGCAUUCACUAAUAGGACUGUUCCACGCGGAACUCGAUAGCCUGCAACCUUGCACUCUUCUGAUGAAAGGUGAGGCACAAGUAAAGGGGCUGCUGGAUGCAUCCGCAAUGUCUCAUUGAUGAUGCAUCGGAUGUAUGGAAGUUGAGCCAAAUCGGAUUCAUCAAUUAGGCGAUCUUGUCCAACCUGAUUGUCAAUUUCUGUCUGCGCUGUCUUUAAGAUUUCUGGAUUGUCAAGCAAGUGUGAAAAAGCCCAUUCUAGUGUUACAGCUGAAGUAUCUGAUCCAGCUUGGAGUAGGACCUGCAUACAUAAGAAAACAGAGUGUAUAAACUAGUCAACAACAAUUGAAGGAACAGUAGAUAUAGACAGAAGCAAAGACAAUAGGGUCAAUGAUUUUGAAAGUUCCAAGGUAGCUUUCAUUUCAAGAUCUAGAUCCAGGGUAGGGUAGGGAAUAUAUAAGUAGAAUUAAAAAAGUCAAUGUCACCUGCCUAUACUAUGUACUCCCUCCAUUUUAAUUUGUUUGUCUUAGUUUGACUUGACACAGAGUUAAAGAAAGAAAAAAAAACUUUUGAAUCUUGUAGUCUUAAAUGUGGUAUGUUGGAAUUAAACUGUUGUCAAACAGGAAAUAAUGGUAUGUUGGAAUUAAACUGUUGUCAAAUCAGGAAAUAAACAUUCUUUUUCGAAACAAACUAAAAAGAAAAGUAUUACAAACAAAUUGAAACAAAAGGGAGUAUAUAUCAAUCUUAGUACAGAACAUUUAGAUUCAUCUAAGCAUGUCUUUUUAUUAAGAAACACUAACAAUAUACCAAUUUGUGUCCAGUUCAAUCUGAAGCCUAACAUAGUAUAAACUCAAGAUAACACAAGCAAAGAAAACAAUAAAAAUAAUCUUCAGAGUGUAUCUUCAUGUACAAAAAUAAAAACAAAAACAUAUAGAUCAUGUCUGAUAGUCUUACCAACAUUAGGCUUCUAAUUGUUUCAUCUGUGUAGUACUCGGGGUCUGUUUUCUGUAAAUCUAACAAGACUUCCAUGAUAGUUUUCUUCUUCCCUGCCACAACCUCUGCUGAAGGAAAAGAACCAUUGGUCUUUAAUCGACGAUGCUCGUCUAUUUCCUUUUGCAUAAAGUUAUCUCUCUUCUUCUGUAGUUCCAUCAUCUUCUCCUCAACAUCAUGCAAACCAAACCACCUCAUAAAUGGCAAGAAAUCCAAAAUAUUAGCCUUUGGAAUUGUUAUUAUUGUAGCCUUUGAUAUAUCCUGGAAUAGCUUAGCUUCUUUCGAGUUCUCUACUUUCUCUCCAUAGUACCUUUUCCCUGCAAUCAUUCUCGAUAGCACAUUGAACGUGAAGUUAAAAAGAGAUGAUUUCAUCUCCACAAUUUUUUCCGAACUCUCUAUGGAGACUCUAAAGAGUCUACGAAUCAGGUAGUUUAUUUCAUCAGAACGGAUGCUAGAUAGUGUCUGGAUUCUAUAGGAAGAUAAAACUUCAAGAGAGGAAAUUCUUCGAAGAUUUCUCCAGUGCUCUCCAUAGGAAGACCAAGCAAGGCUAGUAAAAUUGUACCCGAAAUGCUUACCACUAAGAAAAUCAGGACGAUUGGCAAAGAUGAUAUCAUUUUUAGUAAAACAUUCUUCCGCUGCUGAAGGUGAUGAAACAAGGAGGACAGGACGAGAGCCAAAUUGAAGAAACACUACUGAACCAUAACGAUUCGAGACUUUGAAUAAAGCUCUAUGGAAAGGUUUACCCAAUAAGUAGAGAUGGCCAAUAAAAGGGAGUACUGGAAAUGGGCUAGGGGGAAGAUUUUGUAGCUUGUGAAGAAAAUGAUAGCUGAUGAUGUAAAGAACAAAGAAGAGAACUGGGAAAUACAAAUAAAGACUGUCCAUGGUUGAUCAGAAUUAGGAUUAUGUCUGAUAAUUAUCUAGUUUUAUUAGCUUGUAUUAAGAUCUUAACAGCUUAGACAAGAAUAAAUAAGUAUAAUUAGAUCUUGGUUUUAUACUCUAAAUUAAACAAGAAGUAUCUUGCAGGCUAUAGGUAUUUGUUUAAUCCCUAAUAAUGUAGGUUAGUUGUAGAAAUUUAUUAUUUAUAGAAAAGUUAUCCUUGUAAACAAACAAGAAGGAAUUAAAUACUAACAAAUUAAACAUCCUAUAAAGAGGACCUUUGAAUUUAUUUAGGCAAUUGAUGAUUGAUGACGAAUGGCAAGACGCAAUUUUUCUGGAUUUACUCUAAUUUAUUUUCUUGGAGCAAUGGCCUUUAAUUGAAUUUAAUAUUUUCUUUCUUAACGUUAGUUUACACACAGCCUGUGCUGAAGUGUACGAAUAUCCGAUUUUGGGACCACUAUUUAAGUCAUAGGAGACUUUUUUUUGCAAGUUUAUCCAUUUCGAGAACAAUUUUAGACAUACUCGUAGUUGAAUGUUUGUUGGUAUGACUAAACUUCAUUCACAUAUGACCGAAGUGUGCAAGUAUAUUUGCACAUAUUUCAGACACAUAUAGUAUAUGUUUGACCUAACAGUCUUAAAACACUUCAGACAAUUAUUUAGUUGGCAUAGUCCAUGUUUGAAGUUGGUUUGAAUGAAAUAUAUUGCAAUUUUUGUUUGAUGUUUGGUUUAACGGUCUCAAACUACAUAUAUCUUGAUGAAAUUAUUGACUUCGCGAUUGUUACCUUCCUUCCAUCAAUACAUAAAUCACCUAAAUUUUUUUGGAUUGGAAUUUAAUCCUUGAUUUUUCAUAGUUAGCAUCUGGUUUAUUGACUGGUAGGCUAUGGUUAAUCUACUUGCUUAUGCAUCUUGAUUUCAACGUUGUAAUAGUAUAUUUUAUAUAUAUAUAUAUAUUUGCCACAGCUUACGUUUUCUUCUUUAAACGUUGAUUGUUUGUUUGUGUACUGUUACUGGUUGAUAUAUAGGAACCUAAUCUAUUUAAUAUGGUACUGCAGAAAUCUAGUAUAGUUGAAAAACAAACGCACUUGUCCUUUUCCUGUAUUUAUUGUAUUUUAUUUCUAUUUUGUUCCAUUUUUUCUACUCAAUUUAUUUGAAGGAAGCAUGCAUCUUACGUGAUUGAAGAAAAAGAAAAGUCCUUAAUAGAUUUAGCUUUUAGUUAACAUGGUAGGGACCCCUAACAUCACUAGUAAUAAAUGUCAACUUGUCAAUAUUCAUACAUAACAGUGAAAAAGUUAAAGUCAAACUUGUUUCUUCCCCCCACCCCACCCCUACCACCACCCCCUGCUCAUUUUUCAUUAUGGGAAAGUUAGGGACCUGAAUUAUUUAGUCAUCUAAUUUAUAAAAUAUAUAUAAAAAAUGUAUAUAUUGUGUAUAUUUUACAUCAAACAUACAUGUAGUAUACUUAUAACGUACAUAUCCAUAUAAUGUGUAUGUAGUGUAUAUUUUUAUCAUAUUGAUAAAUUAGUUGGUAUAGCGAUAUAUUUGGUAAGAAAGUGCUUUUUUUAUUAAGGUUAAAAUAAUCCUCACAUUAAAUCUCAAUCAUACGAUCAUGUCAAAUAAAAGUGAGGCAAAAAAAGUUACCAAGUUAAAUUAAUACCAGGAGAAAGUAUAAGGAGCUAAUAAGUUUUAUGCAAAAAAUGAUCUCUCUCUUCAUAUGUUAUUAUAAGUUUAUAUAUCUUAUGUUUAAUUAAUUCAACAACCUCCCCAACUAUUGAGUAGACUUCUUUUGUGAAUAGUUGAUAAUUACUAACUUGCCAGCACUGAUUGCAAGUAUUAUUUACAAGAAAAAUGAAUUAUAAAUCUACCGCAUACCUUCAUAAAGUAGGGAUAAGGAUUAACGUUUGCGUAUAUUUUUAUCAGAUUGCACUCGUAAGAUUGUACUAAUAUGGUCAUGUGGUCAUGAUUGGCUUAACUUCUUCUGUAUGGGUUUAUGUGAUCUUGACAUGAUUGUUAGAAUUGUUAUUUUGUAUUAGGCUGUUUUAUAAUUAUUGAGUGGGGAAUCUUAGUUGGUUGGCUAGGAUUUAUAAGAAUGAUGUUAAAUUUAUUUUGUAUUUGAUUGAAUAAAUUAGUCUUGAGAUUAUAAUUUUAAAACUAUAAUCAAUUAGUUCACAAACCAAACGACCCCGUCUUUUCAUACAUGGGAUAGACAUUGUAAUUUUUUUUUUGAUUAGUCAGUAUAAAGAAGUUUGCUAAUGUUUUUUAUUUUAUUUUUGUAUCUGAUCCUUUAGAAAUAUAGGGUUGGCCGGCAAUACUUCGAAUAGCCAGAUAAAAAUUAGAGUAUUUUUAUGAUUAUCAGUUAGCUUUGAAGGUUAGUUAACCAAAUAAAUUAAUUAAUUUUAGUGAAUAGAAAUAAAUUUUUGUUUUAAAAAAUUUUACGCAACGUUAAAAAAUUACUUCACACAUUUUUUUACCCCUCCGGAUCUUACCCAACCCCAAAUGAAAAAAAAAACCUCAAUUCCUCAUCUACUCACUCAUAAAACGGGUUUGGGUCCGAAUCCUAAUAAAGAAAAUGGGUGAGAUCAUUCUGUAAAGUUACGUGAUAUUUUUGAAAUUUAAAAAAUAGUUCUAGGUAAUAUUUUUUUAAAAAUUUAACCUAUCAAGAUAUAUACACCAUCUAUCUAUUAAACAUGAGGGUGCAUAUACACCAUUUUGUAAUAAGGAGUAUAUUCACUUUAAAUAAUAAAAUUGAACAUAUUUUUGCCCCUUUUACCAUUUAAAAAUAACUUUGAUAUAAACCGAACGAAUAAAGGAAUAAAAUAAAAAAAUAAUUAAGAAGUAUAUUUUUUAAAAAGUAUUUUUUGAGUACGACAGAUUCGAAGCAAUUAACUUAUAAAUUAAGUAUAAACUUAAGCCUAACAUCCCCAAAUCAUGUAUAUAUAGUUUAAUAUUCUACCCUAAUCACCGUCGGACGACAAUCUUUGGAUAAUUCACGAGGGAGGAACAGUAGUUUGGUUUUGUUUUAAUAAUUUUAAAAUCUAUUUUUUCUUUCUUAGUUCCACUUUAACAGCGUUCAUUCAUUAUCCCCAAAUCACCUCCAUUAUCCCCAAAUCAAGUUCAUCUUUUCGUAGUAUCCUUACAAUCAAAGUCUCUUCCCCCUCAAAUCCUUAUAAUCAACGAUUUUUGCUUGAUUUUCGGAGAUUAUUUGUGGUUCAGAUUCAUCAGAUAUCUUUUAAUUAUCAUUUUUUUUCUCUUUUUUCAUUAAAGUUUUUAUAUAGAUAUACCUUUAUGCUAUAUUCUUAGGGUUGAAGUUGAAGGUAUUCAAUAUUACAAUGUCGGAAACCAAUACUCCUAGGAGGGUCACAAGAGAUACACAUUAUUCUGAUAAUUGCUUGGAAGGAAUACCCUCGUUUGAUUUGUGUAUAACUCAAAUGCAAUCACAAAUUUUAGGAUAGAGAAGCAAUAAAAGUUUCACAAUAAACCUAUAACGUUAAAUUUGAAUGAUGAAUCAGAAAGGACUGGUUCUUCUAAGAGGAAAGAAGGUUCAACUCUAAGAAUGGAUGAAACAAAAACUAACAAGAGGAGAAAAGUUAAAGAUGUUGUUUCUGGUAGGAGGGGAAAACAUGUAGUUAAUGAAGAACAAGAAGAAGGGAAGGAAGAAAAACUACCAAAAACAUCUUUGACUUUUCUCUUCUUGUCAGUUUUUGUUUCAUCCACUGUUAGAGUUGAACCUUCUUUCCUUUUAGAACAACCAAUCCUUUCUAAUUCAUCAUUCAAAUUCAACGUUAUAGGUUUAUUGUGAAACUUUGAUUGCUUCUCUAUCUCCAUCGCAGCAAUGGAGGCUGAAAUUUGUGAUUGCAUUUGAGUUAUACGCAAAUCAAACGAGGGUAUUCCUUCCAAGCAAUUAUCGGAAUAAUGUGUACCUCUUGUGACCCUCCUAGGAGUAUUGAUUUCCGAUAUGGUAAUAUUGAAAACAACCUUCAACUUCAACCCUAAAAAUAUAGCAUAAACGUAUAUCUAUAUAAAACCUUCAAUGAAAAAAAUGGGAAUUAGAAGAUACCUGAUGAAUCUAAACCACAAAUAACCUUAGAAAAUCAAGCAAAAAUCGUUGAUUGUAAGGAUUUGAGAGGGGAAGAGACUGAUUGUAAGGAUACUACAAAGAGAUGAACUUGAUUUGGGAUAAUGAAUGAACGCUGCGAAAGUGGAACGAACUAUUGAAGAGAAAAAGUGGGGAAUUUUUUUUAUGCGUGUAAAGUGUUAUUUGCUAUUUAAUAAUUAAAUAUAUCCAGAAAAAAUAAAUAAAGUAUACUAUAGCUAUAUUAAUUACUCUUAUUUAGAGAUGAGACUUAGAAGGACUAACACCGCAUUAAAUUACUUGUACAACAUGCAUAGAAUUUUGUACAUUAACUUUUGACUGCAUUAAAUUAGUUGUACAACGUGCAAAAAGAAUUGUACAUUAACUUUUAUAAAUGACAAUUACAAGGACUAACAUUGCAAUUAUUAUUAUUACUCAUUUUACUCCUUAUUAGAAGUGAGACUUUAGAGGACGAACACGACACUACCAAGUUGUACACAAAGCAUUUCAAAUUGUACUAUAAAAUUAAUUGUGCCUCAUUAAUUGUACACGUGUCUUUCUACAUAUACAACAACCCACAUGAAGAAUUACUUUUCUGACUUUUUUCCUCAGUUUCUCUCUAUAUAUUCGUUUUUAUUUCCUUUUUUUCUACUUUCCAUUCUCCCCUUUUACUCUCUCUUUAGUUAAUCUUUGAUAUUAAAUUUUUUAUAGAUCUUUAAAAUAUUUUGAAUUAUUAAUUAUUGUGACUUAUAAUACUUUGAUAUUUACGUAGUUUACAAAUAUAUAAAUUCCAUUUUUAAAAAAUUGAAGAUACCAUGCGCAAAUUUUCGGUCAAACUUAAACUAUUUGAUUCUCGAAAAAUAAAAAGUGUCACAUAAAAUGGAACAGACGGAGGAUAACUCUCAAUUAAAUUUAUUUCAGUUUUUAUUUUCCAUUUUUAACAUAAUUUUUCAAGUUGGAUUUCUAGGAAUUGUAUUGUAGACCCAUUUAGAUUUUACCCUUUUGUUUUAAAUUCAAAACAACCCUAAAAAANNNNNNNNNNNNNNNNNNNNNNNNNNNNNNNNNNNNNNNNNNNNNNNNNNNNNNNNNNNNNNNNNNNNNNNNNNNNNNNNNNNNNNNNNNNNNNNNNNNNNNNNNNNNNNNNNNNNNNNNNNNNNNNNNNNNNNNNNNNNNNNNNNNNNNNNNNNNNNNNNNNNNNNNNNNNNNNNNNNNNNNNNNNNNNNNNNNNNNNNNNNNNNNNNNNNNNNNNNNNNNNNNNNNNNNNNNNNNNNNNNNNNNNNNNNNNNNNNNNNNNNNNNNNNNNNNNNNNNNNNNNNNNNNNNNNNNNNNNNNNNNNNNNNNNNNNNNNNNNNNNNNNNNNNNNNNNNNNNNNNNNNNNNNNNNNNNNNNNNNNNNNNNNNNNNNNNNNNNNNNNNNNNNNNNNNNNNNNNNNNNNNNNNNNNNNNNNNNNNNNNNNNNNNNNNNNNNNNNNNNNNNNNNNNNNNNNNNNNNNNNNNNNNNNNNNNNNNNNNNNNNNNNNNNNNNNNNNNNNNNNNNNNNNNNNNNNNNNNNNNNNNNNNNNNNNNNNNNNNNNNNNNNNNNNNNNNNNNNNNNNNNNUUACAUAUUUAAAUGAUGAAAAAUAAUAAUCUUAAUUAGUUAGUUUCCAUAUCUUAAUAUAUUAUUAUAUUUAAGUUCAGAUAUCCAGUUACUUUUUGGGACAACUUAUAUUGGGAAAACAAAAGAAUAUAAGAAAAUAAAUUCAAAAAUAAACAUAAAAGAGAACAAAAGAGAGAAUUAACUAUGCAAAAAAAGAUUCAAAGCAAUGACAUUCCUAUUUCUUUUAAUUUUGCAUGGCUUAAACACAAAUAUAUUAAAAAGUAUAUUUCACAUUUUAAAUAUAUAUUAUAUUUAAUAUAAUAAAUUCUGUAACAUAAUAGGAAUUAUAUUUGUACAUUCUUACACUAAUAAAGAAAUUAAUUAUAGAAAAAUGAAGACAAUAAAAAUAGAGUUAUUGAGACAAAUAUUCUAUUAUAAGUAAAUAGAAAGCAAAGAAACUAACUGUAUUUUCAAAAUUAUAAAUUAAUCACAAUUUUGAAAUAACUUUAAAAUUCCUGGAAAACAACAAAAAUGAAAAAUAUAAAGACUGCAACUUCACUUAUUAAUAAACAACUUGAAAUCUCCUCGAAAACAACAAAAAUAAAAUUUUUAAAGACUGCAAUUUUACACAUUAAUAAAUAAUUUAUUUUUAAUAAAACCAACUGUAUUUUCAAAAUUAUAAAUUAACUUUUCAUUUUCAUGUUCUAUCAUUUUUUGUUAGUAAAAAUUGCUCCACCAAACUAUGAAAGUAUAUGUACGUAUUUCUUUAAGUAGCAUAUCAAUAUCCAUCGACUCGUUUCAUGCUUUUGUGUUUUAAAAUAUUAUAGCCCACAAAUACAAUAAACUACUAUUAUCAACAAAAAAGUGAGAUAUGAAUUUACAUUAAGAAAUAAAUUUUUUGAAGAGUGUUAUCAAUAUAAUAUAAUCAAAUUAUCUAAGAAUUACAUAGAGGUCUAAAGAGAAUAAUUUAAAGGGAAAAGAGCCUGAUAUACCCCUCAGCUUUAUCAAUUAGAGCUGAUAUACCCCUCAUUAUGGUAAACUUUAUUAUAGAUGUCCCAAUUUUUUUUCAAAUACAAAAACUAAAUAACAAUAUAGUGGAAAAAAAUUGUGUUAAAUUAUAAUAUAGCCACAAAAAAAAUUGGUUUUAAAAUUUUCUCUUUACACUAACGAACGAAAGAAAAAAUUAAAAUAAGAAUAAGAAACUCAAAAAAUGAUAAUCAAAGACUUCAAAAAAUAAUUUAUGUAUAAAAAAGAUUAAAAUAUACCUUGAAAUUCGCUAGAAGGAUCAUAUAUACCCCUACAUGAUUUUUUUAAAAUUUAAAAGUCAAAAAUAUAAAUUUAAAACUAUUUUUUUUCACUUCCGUUAAAUUAAGGGUAUAUGUGAGCUCAUUUUGUAACGGUAGGGGUAUAUGUGAGCCGUUUGUAUAACGGUAAGGGUAUAUAUGAGCCACUAUCAUAACGAGGGGCAUAUCAGCUCCAAAUGACAAAGUUGAGGGUUAUAUCGGACUCUUUUCCCUAAAUUAAAUAAUUUUAAAAAAAAAACUUAAGAUUUAUAUCUUCACGAACACAAACAAAUAAUAUUAAAUGUAUGAUUUCAACAAAGAAAGAGUUGUAAUUAUAUUAGACAUAUCAAAUUAUUUUACCUUGUAAAAUCAAAUUAUGUAAUCAAAUAAGUAAAAAAAUUAUCUAGCAAAAGAAGAAAAAGAUAAAGAAUAAGGAGAAAAUUACAUUUAAUCAUAAGUCCUCCUACACAUAUAAUCAUUUUUGACAAAACAUAAAUAAUCCAAAAGGAAAUAAUAUAAUAGAAACAUUACUUCUUAAGCACCUAAAAAAAUAAAGAAUAAUCAAUCUAUAUAGCUAAAAAUCCAUUAAUCUCCAUCUUUGGAUGAUUUCAUUUCAUCCUAUAUACAAGAGUCAAGAAAAAUAAUAACAAAUUAUUACUCCUAAAAUGAAUCUCCAUUUUUAUGGUUAUAAAGAGAAUCAUAAAAAUAACAAACCAAAAUAAUUUAUCCAAAAGAAACAAAAAUAUGCUUUGACAUAUUAGCCUUACUUGCUAAUUAAAAGUAAUAUAUGAAAUCAUAUUUCCAAAAGAUAAUGUACCUUAAAGCUUAAAAAUAUUGUAACAUUCUACCAGUAAUUCUCUAAUUGAAGAUCACUACAAUAUAACACACAAUUUUUGGGUGAUUUUAUAGUGUUAAUAUAACCUUCUACAUUAAAUAAUUAGAGGUUACAAUUAUGAAAGGCUUGAGAGGUUAUGAAUAUGAAAGGUUUGGGAGUUAUGAAUAUUAUUAAUUCUAAUUUAAGAAUAGAAUUUAUAUAAUUGAAGAGGUAUAAGUUAAGAAGAUGAUUUUGCAAGAAAAAAAUAAUUGAGAGAAAUAAAAAAAAGGUCAAGAAAUAGAGAGGUGCCACAUCACCUUCUCUAUUGGCUUCUCAAUUAUAAUCUAUUCACUCCCACCUCCUCUACACCUCAACCAGUGUGGCCGUCCUUUCACCUUAUAUGUGAACCAAUCAUUGUCUGAAUCAUAUCCUCCUUUUAAGCCUUAUUCUGUAGCCUUAUUUUGUGCAUAUAUAAUUAUUGUUGAACAUAGAUAUACAAGUUGGAAGAUUGGUAUUAAAAUCAUCAAGUUUGAGCUACAUGAUGAACAUUUCAAGACCAAACAUAAGGAUAUAAUAUACUAAUUUUAAAUUGGAAAACUAAUAGUUAUGACAGUGCCGUGAUGUUUUGAAUUGGAAACUGAAAUUUAGGAUAAUAAUGUUCUAAAUUUUGAACUGAAAUAUCCAAACUUAGAAUAGCAAAAUUGAUAAUGUUAAGUUUUGAUUAAUAUUUAAUACUUUAUACUUAUAAGUUGCAUUUAGAAGUUUUGAAGUGAAAAUAUAUAAUUUAGGGAUACAAUUUCUUGAAAUUUGAACUGAAAAAUUCAACUCAUCUGAAAUAUUAAACUAAGAAAAUGAACAUGAGGAUAUAAAAUUAUGAAUUAUGAAAUUAACUCACAAUACCAAAACUGCCCUUAUUUGUCUCAUCACAUUUUCUGCAUAAGGUACAAUUAGUUUAAGAUGUGUUAGUCCUUUAGAAGUGCCACUUCUAACUAAGGGUAAUAAAUAUAUAAUAUAGGAGUAAAAUAAUAAGAGAAAAGAAAAUUGAUGGAUAAAAUGUUCUUUAAAAUUUGUAUAAAAUAGAGAAAUCUCAUACCGUGCUAAUUACAUCCUAUUCCGGAAGUCUUCUUAAUUACAAUAAUUUUGAAAUUUUCAUUGCUCUCAGAUACAUUACUCAAUUGUUCGAUACAUUGCAAAUGAUACAUUACUUAAGAUUCAGUUGCGUCGGAUAUAUUCCUCUACUGUCGAAUACAUUGGUCUCUACUCCGUUGUUGUGUCAUACAUUCCUCUAUUAUCGGAUACAUUGAUCUCUACUGAUUCUGUUGUGUCAGAUACAUUCCUCUAUUGUUGGAUACAUUUGUUUCUACUAUGUUGUUGUGUUGGAUCCAUUUCUGUAUUGUGGGAUACAUAACUAUAUAUGAACAUGAUUCAUAAUGGGAGGGAUGUAUCCAAGAGGAGAUUUUUGUAAUUUUUAUAAAUGGUAGGAAAUUUUACAUACAUACUACUUGGCUGGAAUAUUAAAACUUUUAUUCAAUGACUAAAAUAUCCCAGCACAUAGUACAAUUUUUGUGGCCGUGUUCAGGAGUGCACGUGGUUUGCUUACAAACUAAAUAACAAUACACGUGUCAACAGGGAAAAGAUGAAGGCUCAUCCCAAACAAUUAACUUUGAAUCUUGAAUUAGAGUCGCUAAUGAACUCUGUUUACUAAUAUUGCAAGUGAAAUUCUCAUCAAUGUCAAUAGGAAUUUUGAAACGCGAAUGAGCUGUUUGUCCUCCUGGAAGUACUAUUUGACUCCUCUCUAAUUAUAAAACGUUUCAUACACUUGCCAAUUAGAACUUUUGGAUCCUCACUCGCUUAAACAAUUGUGUUCCUGAGUGAGGCAAAUGACCGAGAAAAACAGUCAACUUCUAGAAACAGACCUGCUUUGGAAAAUGAUUGAUUUCAGAUUCUCUAAUUUUCAAGCCUUCAAGUACAAUUUCACACACUUUUCAAGCUUUUAAGAUUUGUAGGGAACCAUAGGGUUCUAUUUUGGAUGAUGUUGUAUUAGUAUUUAGUAGUUAUUCUUAGAUAGAAGUUAUGCUUUUAGUAUCAUCUAAAUUUCUUCUGUCAUUUUUGUAUUGUUUGAAUUGCAACUUCAGAUUUAUUAGCAGACUGGCAGACGAUACCAAAACACCAUAGUUUAUCAUAUUCAUAAUUACAAUUGUGGAAUUGAGAGGGUGAUCAUACAAUAGGAGACUAAUGAUGUUUGGAAAUGAUUUAGGUAAUAUUCAUUUCCUUAAUGAGUUAUUAUCUGUAUUUUUGACACACAUAAUAUUUUAUGAAGAAGUUUUCACAUUUUAUGUCAUUAUGCAUGUGGGAUAGGUUUUUCUUUAAAAAUUUCUUGUUCAACUUUUCCUUUAAAUAAGUGAAAUUAAAGAUAUAUAGUUUAAGAGGAAAUGACAAUAGGGUUGCGGACCGUCUCAACUUCAUUUGAAAGUGUCACGGCCGAAAAUCUUCAAGCACACAAGAAGAGAGAUGAUACAUGCAAAGAGUGAAGAAGAGAGAGAAGCACCAGAAAAAUUUGUGAAUACAAAAUGGGGCUACCCGAAAGAAGAAGAGAAAUAAGGAACUAAAGAGCAAAC